rnacentral:rRNA from 1 species
AUUGAACGCUGGCGGCAGGCCUAACACAUGCAAGUCGAACGAGUGGCGGACGGGUGAGUAAUUUCUUGGAAACUGCCUGAUGGAGGGGGAUAACUACUGUAAACGGUAGCUAAUACCGCAUACCAUCAUCUGGGCCCAGAUUGGAUUGGCUUGUUGGUGGGGUAACGGCUCACAAAGGCGACCAUCCCUAGCUGGUCUGAGAGGCGGACCAGCCACACUGGAACUGAGACACGGUCCAGACUCCUACGGGAGGCAGCAUUGGGGAAUAUGGCACAAUGGGCGAAAGCCUGAUGCAGCCAUGCCGCGUGUAGGAAGAAGGCCUUCGGGUUGUAAAGUACUUUCAGCGGGGAGGCGGUACCCGCAGAAGAAGCACCGGCUAACUCCGUGCCAGCCGCCGCGGUAAUUC